rnacentral:rRNA from 1 species
GACGAACGCUGGCGGCGUGCCUAAUACAUGCAAGUAGAACGCUGAAGGAGGAGCUUGCUUCUCCGGAUGAGUUGCGAACGGGUGAGUAACGCGUAGGUAACCUGCCUGGUAGCGGGGGAUAACUAUUGGAAACGAUAGCUAAUACCGCAUAAGAGUAGAUGUCGCAUGACAUUUGCUUAAAAGGUGCAACUGCACCACUACCAGAUGGACCUGCGUUGUAUUAGCUAGUUGGUGAGGUAACGGCUCACCAAGGCAACGAUACAUAGCCGACCUGAGAGGGUGAUCGGCCACACUGGGACUGAGACACGGCCCAGACUACUACGGGAGGCAGCAGUAGGGAAUCUUCGGCAAUGGACGGAAGUCUGACCGAGCAACGCCGCGUGAGUGAAGAAGGUUUUCGGAUCGUAAAGCUCUGUUGUAAGAGAAGAACGAGUGUGAGAGUGGAAAGUUCACACUGUGACGGUAUCUUACCAGAAAGGGACGGCUAACUACGUG